rnacentral:piRNA from 2 species
UGGAGCCCAGACACUUUGUGGAUGAGAAGGC